rnacentral:rRNA from 1 species
UACGAAGGGGGCUAGCGUUGCUCGGAAUCACUGGGCGUAAAGCGCACGUAGGCGGAUUGUUAAGUCAGAGGUGAAAUCCUGGAGCUCAACUCCAGAACUGCCUUUGAUACUGGCGAUCUUGAGUCCGGGAGAGGUGAGUGGAACUCCGAGUGUAGAGGUGAAAUUCGUAGAUAUUCGGAAGAACACCAGUGGCGAAGGCGGCUCACUGGCCCGGUCCUGACGCUGAUGUGCGAAAGCGUGGGGAGCAAACAGG